AUGGAGAAAGAAAAAGUGCCUGUGUCCGAGAAGGAAGGUGACGGAAUAUCAGCAGCUACCAGGGUACUGCAGUUUGUCAUAGCAGGCAGGAUUGUCAUGUCAGUUAGAACAUUCGGAAGUAGGACUGCCCGCGGCCGCGUGAAGGUCUCGGGGUCAUCUGGUAUAGAGCGAGUGUCGACUGCUGUACGCGCCGCCCCUGUGUUGGAGAUUGUCGACCAGCUUCUGGCGAUGAUGAAGAUGGAUGCCCGAUCUGUAUUUCUUGUUCUCACAUUCAGCACAUUUCAUGCUGUUUCAGGUCUCAGUGUGAAUGUUGGAAGUCAUUGGACCGUAAACAGGACUCUAAGUGGACCUCUGAUUAUACAGGAUCAAGAAUUGGUGGUGUACUAUGAAAUCAGUACAGAUGUCCCUGCUGAGUCUGGUUCUGAGACUAAUCAGGCUCUAGGUCAUACAUUUGUAUCACUAGGACUAGUUCCUAGUCUAACCAUCUGCAACAGUACCUGGUCUCAAACAUUCUCCUUUGGGAAAGAUUCAUGGAAAUAUGAACAAGGAUACUGGGAGCUGCAUCUUCCUUGCAACAUGUUCACUUCUAGUGGUGCAGUAAAUGUUGGUGAAUGGUAUGGGAUAGUAGAGAUGGAUGUACAUACUGGAUUACUCAGAAAGAUUGUCAGCAUUGUGGAUCCUGAAACAGAACCGAUCCAGACUGUCUCUCAAGGUUCAUCCACCCUGUCUCCUAUCAUAGCUACAAUGAAUGCAUCAUUCAGCAGACUCAUUUCAUCUCAGAGUCCAUGUUCUCCUGAUGUUGUUGUCAUAGCAACCAUAUCAGAAGACCCAAGUGUACAUGUUGGACUAUCCUAUAAGAGUCUGCAGCCAGAUAGUGUUGAGUGGUUUGAUCUGACAUCCAUUCUAUGUGCAAAUACUUCAUCUCAAGAUUGUAAUAGAGGAAGAUUGAUUGAUUUCAAACUGACAUCAGAGCAUCUUAUUAUCCUGACAUCUGAAACCAUCUUUACCAUUCAUCUUGAUGCUGAACAAAGUUUGAACAAGAACGUUGUUAAUCGUAUCAACAUUGGGAGUGUUACAGAAGGCUUCUUACUCAAUAAUACUAGACUCUCUUACACUCCCACAUGUAAUCCUCAAUACCUGGUUGAUGAAGUUGUUCUGGUAGUGAAGCAGCUCCCAUACCCAGAUACCCUACCACAGAUCCUUGGUGUUAGCCGGUACCCCUUUACCUCCUGGUUACCUGUUAAUCUGACUGAUGCUGUGCUGCCUGUCCUAGGUCUACAUCUCCCACAGUCAUCCAGGUUUCUCAUCCUUGCUAACCAUCAGGUAAGCCCCAUUCAGAUAUGCCGUGGUAACCCUUUACCUGAUCCUGGUUACCUGUUAACCUGACUGAUGCUGCGCUGCCUGUCCUAGGUCUUCAUCUCCCACAGUCAUCCAGGUUUCUCAUCCUAGCUCACCAUCAGGUAAGCCCUGUUCAGAUAUGCCGUGGU